rnacentral:rRNA from 1 species
AUACGUAGGUGACAAGCGUUAUCCGGAUUUACUGGGCGUAAAGGGCGUGUAGGCGGUCUUGCAAGUCAGAAGUGAAAUUCCUGAGCUCAACUCGGGCGCUGCUUCUGAAACUGCAGGACUUGAGUGCUGGAGGGGAUAGCGGAAUUCCUAGUGGAGCGGUAAAAUGCGCAGAUAUUAGGAAGAACACCGGUGGCGAAGGCGGCUAUCUGGACAGUAACUGACGCUGAGGCGCGAAAGCCAGGGGAGCGAACGGGAUUAGAUACCCCGGUAGUCCUGGCCGUAAACGAUGAAUGCUAGGUGUAGGGGGUAUCGACUCCCUCUGUGCCGCAGUUAACACAAUAAGUAUUCCGCCUGGGGAGUACGGCCGCAAGGUUGAAACUUAAAGGAAUUGACGGG